AUUGAACGCUGGCGGCAGGCCUAACACAUGCAAGUCGAGCGGAUGAAGGGAGCUUGCUCCUGGAUUCAGCGGCGGACGGGUGAGUAAUGCCUAGGAAUCUGCCUGGUAGUGGGGGAUAACGUCCGGAAACGGGCGCUAAUACCGCAUACGUCCUGAGGGAGAAAGUGGGGGAUCUUCGGACCUCACGCUAUCAGAUGAGCCUAGGUCGGAUUAGCUAGUUGGUGGGGUAAAGGCCUACCAAGGCGACGAUCCGUAACUGGUCUGAGAGGAUGAUCAGUCACACUGGAACGGAGACACGGUCCAGACUCCUACGGGAGGCAGCAGGGGGGAAUAUUGGACAAUGGGCGAAAGCCUGAUCCAGCCAUGCCGCGUGUGUGAAGAAGGUCUUCGGAUUGUAAAGCACUUUAAGUUGGGAGGAAGGGCAGUAAGUUAAUACCUUGCUGUUUUGACGUUACCAACAGAAUAAGCACCGGCUAACUUCGUGC
rnacentral:rRNA from 1 species